GUCAUGCUUUCUGACUGUGGGAGAGAACCCAGGCAUGCACAGGGGGAACAUGCUAACUCCAUGCAGAAAGACCCCGGGCCGGGAAUCGAACCCAGGACCUUCUUGCUGCAAGGCAACAGCUCUACCAACUGUGCCACUGUGC